UAUAAAAGAAAAAAAGGAAGGGGGGAAACGGGUGGUGAAACAACAUCCUGAGACGUCCUUCUUCUUUCUUCGAUUUUUCCUUUUUCCUUUCUUCACCUUUCGUU
rnacentral:ribozyme from 1 species